CCUACGGGAGGCAGCAGUCGAGAAUUUUUCUCAAUGGGGGAAACCCUGAAGGAGCGACGCCGCGUGGAGGAUGAAGGUCUUCGGAUUGUAAACUCCUGUCAUUGGGGAACAAUGCGCAAAUAUUAACCGUAUUUGCGUUGAUAGUACCCGAAGAGGAAGAGACGGCUAACUCUGUGCCAGCAGCCGCGGUAAUACAGAGGUCUCAAGCGUUGUUCGGAUUCAUUGGGCGUAAAGGGUGCGUAGGCGGCGCGGUAAGUCGGGUGUGAAAUCUCGGAGCUUAACUCCGAAACUGCAUUCGAUACUGCCGUGCUUGAGGACUGGAGAGGAGACUGGGAUUUACGGUGUAGCGGUGAAAUGCGUAGAUAUCGUAAGGAAGACCAGUGGCGAAGGCGGGUCUCUGGACAGUUCCUGACGCUGAGGCACGAAGGCCAGGGGAGCAAACGGGAUUAGAUACCCCGGUAGUCCUGGCAGUAAACGGUGCACGUUUGGUGUGGGAGGAUUCGACCCCUUCUGCGCCGGAGCUAACGCGUUAAACGUGCCGCCUGGGGAGUACGGUCGCAAGAUUAAAACUCAAAGAAAUUGACGGGGGCCCGCACAAGCGGUGGAGUAUGUGGCUCAAUUCGAUGCAACGCGAAGAACCUUACCGGGCCUUGACAUGCAUCUCUAAGUUGGUGAAAGCCAGCGAGUCCCGAAAGGGACAAUUUGCACAGGUGCUGCAUGGCUGUCGUCAGCUCGUGUCGUGAGAUGUUGGGUUAAGUCCCGCAACGAGCGCAACCCCUGUGAACUGUUGCCACCGAGCCGUGAGGCUCGAGCACUCUGUUCAGACUGCCCCGCUUUAACGGGGAGGAAGGUGGGGACGACGUCAAGUCAGUAUGGCCCUUACGGCCUGGGCUGCACACGUACUACAAUGCCCAGUACAGAACGAUCCGAGACCGCAAGGUGGAGGAAACCACUAAAACUGGGCCCAGUUCAGAUUGAAGUCUGCAACUCGACUUCAUGAAGCCGGAAUCGCUAGUAAUGCCGUAUCAGCUAC
rnacentral:rRNA from 1 species